CAGAUCCAAGAACUGUUGGAGAGGCUUUGAUAUAAGCUUGUUCAUUCAGAUCAAACAAUGUCCUGACAAAGGUUGGUCUCGAUGACAUUUCCCCUCAUGAAUUGUUCCAAGUGCUAACACAAGAGAGAUCAAGACAGCAACAAGUUUUCCCAUUUCUCACAAGAAGAGCCUGAAACAAAUUUCUGAAGAAAUGUUACCUAGAACAAUAAAGACCAAAACAAACCACAUGUAGCAGAAGAUGAAUAUGAUACACAGCUGUGUUCUAGAGAUAACUUGUAGGAAACAACAUUUAUAAAGUUGGUGACUGAUGAUCAAAACCUAGAAACUGGAUUCGAAAUAGAAUGAACAUUACCAGUACCCACAGUAAGAGCCAAGAGGGAAUCAGCAGAAGGCAGUAAUAGAAGAGAAUGAAAGAUGAGUGAGGAAAUGUGAUUUAUAGUCGGAAAUGGGAUUUGUUAAGCAUCAUUUUCAAGGUUUUCAGGUUCAGACAUCUUAGUCCACAAACACAGUCACAAAGCAUAUAAAGACCAAUCUAACAUUUCUUCCACACACUUCCGUGACUUGUUGGUAUAAGUGUUACUAAAUUUAGAAACCCAAUUGGUAGCCAAAAGAUAUUUCCCAUUUGAGCUACGUUGCCAAAAAACGUACCUUUUACAAUGCUUUCUGGAUUUUUGUAGAAACCCAUUUUCCAGAUUCCACGAAUUUGAUGUUCCUCUGCAGAAUUUAGAGAUGGGUUGAGGUUGAAGACAGAUG
rnacentral:lncRNA from 1 species